rnacentral:misc_RNA from 1 species
UUUCUUUUUUUUUUUUCCUUUCUUUUUUCUAACACUAACAAUGCUAUUUGGGGUUUGUUUGUGGAUAUCAAAAAUCUAGGGUUUAUUUUUGAAUGUCCAAAAUGUGGGUUUAUUUUAUUUUUUAACAAUUUCUUAUAGUGUUCUCUUAAAGAGAAAAAAACGUUAUUAAUGAUGAAAUCUAUAUUCAUUUUAUUUAUUUUUCUAUGCUUAUUAAUGCUUUGUAUAUUAGUAAGUUUGGUUAAAUAGAGCUACAUCUAUAAUUAUUUGAUUUUAAUUUUAAUUUUUUUAUUAAAUUUUAUUUUUCGUACUUAAGCCCAUUCAUGCGUGCCCCACUGCACCUGCGCCUUGUGCCUAGCACCAAGAACCCUUUGCGCCUUGUGCCUAGCACCAAAAACCCUUUGCGCCUUAGUACGCCUUACAACUUUAAUAACUAUGGAUUUAUAAUAUACUAAGAGUUUGUUUGGCGUUGCUGUUAAAACUGUUGUUGAGG